GCAGAUAGCUCAGUCCAUAGAGCAUGAGACUCAAUUUCAGGGUCGUGGGUUUGAGCCCCACGUUGGGCA